CACGUAGGGCGCAAGCGUUGUCCGGAAUCAUUGGGCGUAAAGAGCUCGUAGGCGGUUUGUCGCGUCUGCUGUGAAAACUCGGGGCUUAACCCCGAGCUUGCAGUGGAUACGGGCAGACUAGAGGUAGGUAGGGGAGAAUGGAAUUCCCGGUGUAGCGGUGAAAUGCGCAGAUAUCGGGAGGAACACCGGUGGCGAAGGCGGUUCUCUGGGCCUUACCUGACGCUGAGGAGCGAAAGCGUGUGGAGCGAACAGG
rnacentral:rRNA from 1 species